rnacentral:rRNA from 1 species
UGGGGAAUUUUGGACAAUGGGCGCAAGCCUGAUCCAGCCAUGCCGCGUGCAGGAUGAAGGCCUUCGGGUUGUAAACUGCUUUUGUACGGAACGAAACGGCUCUUUCUAAUAAAGAGGGCUAAUGACGGUACCGUAAGAAUAAGCCCCGGCUAACUACGUGCCAGCAGCCGCGGUAAUACGUAGGGGGCAAGCGUUGUCCGGAUUUACUGGGCGUAAAGAGCGCGUAGGCGGACGUUUAAGUGUGGCCUGAAAGCCCCCGGCUCAACCGGGGAUCCGGGUUGCAAACUGGACGUCUUGAGGGGGAUAGGGGAAGGUGGAAUUCCUGGUGUAGCGGUGAAAUGCGUAGAGAUCAGGAGGAACACCCGUGGCGAAGGCGGCCUUCUGGGUCCGCCCUGACGCUGAGGCGCGAAAGCGUGGGGAGCGAAC